rfam:Oryza glumipatula chromosome 10, whole genome shotgun sequence.
UUUAAGUGCAACUAUGAGUUUUUGUGUGCAACGUUUGACCAUCCGUCUUAUUUAAUUUUUUUAGAUUAGUAUUUUCAUUGUUAUUAGAUGAUAAAAUAUGAAUAAUAUUUUAUGCGUGACUUUUUUUUAAUUUUUUUUCAUAAAUUUUCUAAAUAAGACGGACGUACGGUCAAAAGUUGAACACGAAAUUCCACAACCGCAGUUAAA